rnacentral:rRNA from 1 species
AACGAACGCUGGCGGCAUGCCUAACACAUGCAAGUCGAACGAGACCUUCGGGUCUAGUGGCGCACGGGUGCGUAACGCGUGGGAACCUGCCCUUAGGUUCGGAAUAACUCCCCGAAAGGGGUGCUAAUACCGGAUAAUGUCUUCGGACCAAAGAUUUAUCGCCUUUGGAUGGGCCCGCGUUGGAUUAGCUAGUUGUUAGGGUAAAAGCCUACCAAGGCGACGAUCCAUAGCUGGUCUGAGAGGAUGAUCAGCCACACUGGGACUGAGACACGGCCCAGACUCCUACGGGAGGCAGCAGUGGGGAAUAGUGGAAAAUGGGGGAAAGCAUGAUCCAGCAAGGACGGGUGAGUGAUGAAGGCAUUAGGGUUGUAAAGCGCUUUUAACCGGGAUGAUAAUGACAGUACCGGGAGAAUAAGCUCCGGCUAACUCCGUG